UCUAUACACAGGCGAAAGCACUGUAUACACUUGUGUCUUGAUGAUAUAUUAAGUGUGCUGUGUGUACACCAAGCCAAGUGGAGAAAACCACCCUUAGGGGUGGUUUUCUUUUUACCCUA
rnacentral:ncRNA from 12 species